AUCAACGCUGGCGGCGUGCCUAACACAUGCAAGUCGCACGCGAAAGCCCCGCAAGGGGUAAGUAGAGUGGCAAACGGGUGAGUAACACGUGGGUGACCUGCCUUCGAGUGGGGGAUAACGUCCCGAAAGGGACGCUAAUACCGCAUGACAUCCUGCUUUUGAAAAAGCGGAGAUCAAAGCUGGGGAUCGCAAGACCUAGCGCUUGAAGAGGGGCCCGCGCCUGAUUAGCUAGUUGGUGAGGUAACGGCUCACCAAGGCGACGAUCAGUAUCCGGCCUGAGAGGGCGGACGGACACACUGGGACUGAGACACGGCCCAGACUCCUACGGGAGGCAGCAGUGGGGAAUUGUUCGCAAUAGGUGCAAGCCUGACGACGCAACGCCGCGUGGAGGACGAAGAUCUUCGGGUCGUAAACUCCUGUCGAGCGGGACGAACGCUUCGCGGAUGAAUAAUCCGCGGAAUUGACGGUACCGCUAAAGGAAGCCCCGGCUAACUCCGUG
rnacentral:rRNA from 1 species